rnacentral:rRNA from 1 species
UAGGGAAUCUUCGGCAAUGGACGAAAGUCUGACCGAGCAACGCCGCGUGAGUGAAGAAGGUUUUCGGAUCGUAAAACUCUGUUGUUAGAGAAGAACAAGGACGUUAGUAACUGAACGUCCCCUGACGGUAUCUAACCAGAAAGCCACGGCUAACUACGUGCCAGCAGCCGCGGUAAUACGAAGGUGGCAAGCGUUGUCCGGAUUUAUUGGGUGUAAAGCGAGCGCAGGCGGUUUCUUAAGUCUGAUGUGAAAGCCCCCGGCUCAACCGGGGAGGGUCAUUAGAAACUGGGAGACUUGAGUGCAGAAGAGGAGAGUGGAAUUCCAUGUGUAGCGGUGAGAUGCGUAGAUAUAUGGAGGAACACCAGUAGCGAAGGCGGCUCUCUGGUCUGUAACUGACGCUGAGGCUCGAAAGCGUGGGGAGCAAACAGG